UACAUCGUCUGCUACCAUACUAAACUACAUACCGGAUAAACUACCACAUAUGUAAUCCGUACUAUUGAUGUGAUACCGUGAAGCACUUGAAUUCAUAAAUCGAGUCUGAUGGUAGAGUGUAUCAUCAGCUUCACUGCUAAAAAAUAAUGGAACUGUUUAUAGGACGAGCUUGUCUAAGGCUAGUCAGUUCGCCUGUGAAACUGUCAAGGAAUCUAGCACACCUGCAAACAUCUUUUCCGGGUUAUGAGAGACGCCGCUGCUUACCACAAGGGCAAAAACUUGGGACAUCGGUUUUCGAGAUGUAUUGUCAACCCUCAUUGACACAAGUUUAUAAAACGAAACAAAUAGAAAGGCGUAACCCUUGCAACAUUACUGGUUUUGCUCAGCGUCGGUUCUUUUCCAAUCAACCUAACAAAGAUUGCAAUACUACUUCAACUCCUGUGCAGCAGUUAACUGUCUUUCAGAAAAUGAAACGGAUGACCAAAGACUACUGGUACGUUCUCAUACCGGUACAUGUAGUUACAUCGGCUGGCUGGGUACUGAUAUUUUACGUGGCAGCUAAAAAUAGCGUCGAUGUGAUUUGGAUAUUGGAGAAGUUGCAUGUUAGUGAAAAGUAUAUUGAGGCUCUACGAGGUUCCAGUGCUGGCUUCUGGGCUAUAGUAUAUGCAUUAUACAAAAUAUUUACACCCCUUCGAUAUAUGGUUACUGAGGUACAACAUUAGGCAUCAGGUAUCUUCGCAAAAUGGGUUACAUGAAAUCGAAACUUCGAACAACUCCUACACAAAAGCCACAAAGUGCAGAACAGAGUGUUUCUGAGCACAAGAAAAGUUACGGAAAAGUAGGGUGCAAGGAUGGUCAAACGCAAGCUGAUCCACCAAAAACGUAGUACAUGUUUUGUAUGCCUAUGGUUGGCUGCCAGGAUGUUUGAUAAUUUAAUAUGAGCCAUGCUCCCUAAUGCCAAAUUUGUGGUAUCCUGUAAAUGAUGUAUUGAAAUGUUUGUAAUAAAGUAUGGAGAAUAAUGUUUUAA
rnacentral:misc_RNA from 1 species